AAUUAAGGGACUUAUGAACUUAACCCAAUGCAUGGAUUAAACCCUUGGAUUUAGUUGUUUAUAAGAGAAAUAGGCGGCGAAAAAAAAAGAGGAGUCUCGGCGGCAAUAAGAAGAAGGAAGGGAGAAGGGACUUCGACCUUGGAGGGAAGAACGAGCCAACACCAAGACUCCAAGCACCAAGGCACCUCUUAAAACCCUUUCCUUUCCACUUGUUUAGGUGAAGGAACUUAUGAUGUUGGAGGCUCGGAUCCUUGAUCGAACUGGGCUGGGUGGUACAUUCCCGAGGACCUUACAAUUCCGCAUUAGGAAUGAAUAAACAGUGAUUACGAUCAAGAAGGAAUUAAGUAGAAUCGAAUUUAGCCUUUAUAGGAUGACCGUCUAAGUUCAUGCACUUUUCUUCUUUCAUGGUAUCUGUAAUGGAUUUGAGUAUAGGGGUAUUGUUUAUUAAUUACAGACAAUAUUUUCUUAUUUUUUUUGGAUAUGUUAUGAAAAAAAAUUGGGUCGUUUCAUAUCCAUUCAAAUGGUUUUUGAGGAAAUUAAAAAAUAAUGUUCGUAACAAAACAAGAGUUGAGGGGUUAAUAUAUAAUGCUUAUCUGGUUAAAGAAGCAUAUUCUUUCUGCUCAUAUUAUUUUGUUGAUAGUGUGCAAACAAGACAUCGCAAGUGUCCUAGAAAUUUUGAUGAUGCUCCUAAGCCAAUAGACCCAUCGAUGCUUUCUAUUUUCAAGUUUCCCGGUAAGUCAAUGGGUGAUUAACCAAAGAAAAAUAUUAUAAUGAAUGUGUGGUAAGUAUACUUAAUAUACUUUAUAUUCUAUAAUAUAUUUAUUCUUUAUUAUACUAAAGCUUUAAUUCAACUUAUAAUUGCAGAAAAGAUUACAUGGGAGAAAGGUAAAGAGCAAUAAUUUAAAGAUGUUUGGAAUAGCUAUUGUUCCAAACUUUACAAAGACCUUCUUUAUUAUAUGAUAAAGAAGGGCACCAGGCCGACGUAUGUGCCAGUCGAGAUAUGGAGUGCAUGGACGACCACAUGGUCUACAGAAAGGUAUAAAGCAAAUGCUGAAAAGGCUUAGAGAAAAUAGAAAUAUAGAGCCAGGUGGCUCGAGCACUUGAACGGCUCGACAUACAUCAAGUUCUAGAUCUAUUGUUGGGCAUGUCAUAGAUCUGGAAUAUGACUAAGCCCGGCAACCUACUUGUAUAGAGGUCUUUCUUAAAACUCAUAAGAAAAAAGAUGACACAUUUGUUGGUACUAGAUCUAAGGUCAUACACGUAAGAUUAUUUAUUUAUUACAUUUAA